rnacentral:tmRNA from 1 species
GGGGGCGUAAAGGUUUCGACGGGGAUUCUGAAGUGUGAUAAGCGAGCGGAGCAUGGUAUAAUCUCCUUAAUCUGUACCACGUUUAAAUAUAAACGCAAGAAAAAAUAUCACGGUUACUAGAAAUAGUCAACUGAUGGCUGCCUAAGUCAGCCAUUGUCCUGUAACUGAGUACCACGGCUUUUACAGGGCAUCGAUUAGUGGUGAACGGUUCGCCGGAGUGUCCGUGCCGGUGAAUUGUAUACGGACUACUUUGUGUAACAGCCUGAUUACCGGCGGUUGCAUGAGGGAAUUUUAAUAGAUAAUAUACGCUCGUAGAAAGUUGCAUGAAUGGGUUUUCGGACAGGGGUUCAAUUCCCCUCGCCUCCACCA